GACGUAGGGUGCAAGCGUUGUCCGGAUUUACUGGGCGUAAAGCGCGCGUAGGCGGUCUGUUAAGUGUAGAGUGAAAGCUCCGGGCUCAACCCGGAAAUUGCUCUGCAUACUGGCAGACUUGAGGGAUGCAGAGGUUUGUGGAAUUCCUGGUGUAACGGUGAAAUGUGUUGAUAUCUGGAGGAACACCGGUGGCGAAGGCGGCAUCCUGGACCGACACUGACGCUGAGGAGCGAAAGCCAGGGGAGCAAACGGG
rnacentral:rRNA from 1 species